AAUACCAACACUACCACCACCACCAAUACCAAUACCAUUAACAUAAAUACCACCAAUACCACCACCACCACUAAUAAUACCACAACUAAUACCAACGCCACCAACACCACUAAUACCAAUACCAACACCCAUCCCCUCUCAACCAACACCACUAAUACCAAUACUAAUACCACUAACACCAACACUACUAAUUCUAACACCACCACUAAUACCAACACCACCACCAAUACCAAUACUACCAAUACUAAUACCAA
rnacentral:lncRNA from 1 species